rnacentral:rRNA from 1 species
GAUGAACGCUGGCGGCGUGCCUAAUACAUGCAAGUCGAACGCAUAGCCAAAGGUUCUUUCGCCUUUCAAGUUGGUGGCGAGCGGGUGAGUAAGAGAGGAACAAGCUCCCUCAUUUCGGGGGAUAACAGGUGGAAACAGAUGCUAAUACCGAAUAAAACUUGGUGUCGGAUGACGCAAGGAUAAAAUGGGCGUCGGCGGCACCUAGAGAGGGAUCCGAGGUUGAUUGGUUAGUUGUGGGGGUAAAGGGCUACCAAGACAAUGAGGCAUAGCCGAGUUGAGAGACUGAUCGGCCACCUUGGGACUGAGACACCGCCAAAACGCCUACGGGAGGCCGCAGUCUGGAACGGUCGACAACGGGCGAAAGCCUGAUGCAGCAACGCCGCGUGUGUGAUGAAGGCGUUGGGGUCGUAAAGACGUGUUGUAGGGGAAGAACAGCUAGAACCGGAAAUGAAGCUAGUUUGACGGUACCAGACCAGAAAGGGCCGGCUAAAUACGUG